CUGUAUUUUUCCCCACCUCCAUUCCAGCAAAAUAAGGAGACCCAGAAGAUAAAAUUUGUUUUGUUGUUGCAAGUAGUGCUAUGUGAUUUCAGUUGUAGAGAGGGAGCACCUGUUUCCUCACAUUGCCUGAGAUGAUUGAUAAAGAAGACAAGAGUGACUUUCCUGCUGACCCUUCUCUUAAUUUACAAACAAAACCUUGACUUUCUUGACUGCCAGCAAUGAAAAUCCACACUGGAAUCUGAGAUCAAGCUGUGUCCUUUCUGCUUUAUGCCAAAAUAGACUCUGGUUCACCUCCUCAGUGCUGAGGUGGCUCUGCAGGGCUGGCAAGAAUGUAAAGAAACAACAGUGGUUUUAAUAGAGAGAAGGUAAUGAUGCGUAACACGCUGCUGCCCCUGGAGCUCUUUCAGGCUGUGGACCACAAAAUCCCAGAUUCCAACUCUGAGAAAUAAUCAGCUACAGUACUGUUGGUUCUUAGGGCCGAGUAAAGUUCAUGAUGACCUGCUGACGUCUGGAUUGUCUGCUGCCCUGUACUGCUGCCUCUUCCACUGGCUGUCCCCUGGACCCCAUGCCACCAGCUGUGCUGGGAGCACAGGGCUCAUCAUGCAGUGCUGCCACAACCCUUCUGGAGACCCUGAGGAGCAUUGAGAAGCAAAGCUGAAAAAUAAUUUUUACUUCAUAACAGGACAGAUUUAACAGGAGAAGAAACACUUAGUCAUAGGGAAUUCACAAUUCCUUCUGCAGGUACAUCCCAUGUGAAAUGUGAGUCUCUUCACUGUCCCCUGGAUUUGAUGAAAGAAAUAUUUACUAGACUGACAUGUAGACUAAAAGAAAAGGAAGAUAAUUACAAAAGCUUAUUAAUAUAGUUUCCACACAAUCCAGAGAUUUAUGUAGAAUUUCUUCUGGAAGAAAUUGCUUUGUGCUUGGUUCGGCUAAAUAAAACCUGAGUUUUAUUUUUGAUGUAAUGUUUUAGGCUGCUUCUGCAAAUAUGUAGUUGAGUUCUAAUUUUAAUAAUCACAACAAUCUGAAUAUUUACUUUUUUCUGCCCAAGGGAUAAAAAUCUAAAUGUGAGAGAAAAUAUAUCUGUUAACACUGAGUCUUUUUAAAUCUUCCUACCUGCCACCAUUGAAAAGGUAAUUCUUUUUUUAGGAGUAAAUAAAAUUCAUGAAA